rnacentral:lncRNA from 1 species
GCAGUAGAGCAGUUCCCUGGGCCACUUCAGGAGAACAGAAAGAACACUCAACAGGAGAGACCCCUGAGGACUGUUUUUAUAUUAAUGGCUAAACUCACUGCUGAAGUCAGGUGGGAAUUUGGCCAGGACUCUGCUAAAUCUCAGGUGCUUGAUGUAGCUCCUUUUAGACAACAGGUUUUCUGAAGCAUGUAUAGGCCAACUUCACAGAAUUUGAUGGGGAGAAAAUCUUCAGCAGGAGGAGGCAAAUACCAAGAGGGGUCCUUGAUGGUCUUUGUAGAAACCAGGAGUACUAGGGUCAAACUGGAUCUUUCGACUAAAGGAGCCAAAUGAGCUUCAUGUUUCAGCUGGUUGAUGCCAAUGGAAAAGAGACCUUCAGAUGCACUUCGAGAAAGAUGUAUGAUCAAGGAGUAAUAAGCUUUUCUCCAUUAGUGUAACAAGUCAAAAUAUCAUUUAAUUUAUUUCUGAAAGUUUUUUUUUUCUCUUUUACUGUAACAGAUAUAGCUCAUCACUUAACUUCAUUCACCAAACAUUAUGCACUAGCAUUUUACUAUAAUUUUAGGAAGAGAAAGAAGCAUUUCAGGGGUGAUUCAUUGAUAUUCCUGAAAAUAGGAUCCUUGCUUCAGGAUUCUUAAAAUGUUAAGCAAGGUGGAUACUGAAUGCAGUACAAGUGAAUAAUGAGGUUACGGUCUUCUGUUGCUAUUUUAACUGCAUGUUGUACAGAUAAAUGCUUACAAAAUCCACAGAAAGCAUUUUGAAAUUUCAAAGAAGAGAUAGAAAGUAUAAUUGAUGCCACCAUUGAAGGCCAAAGAGAAGCAAUGAAAAUAGAGUAAAAUACCAGUAAAUAUUAAUGUAAUACUACUAAGUAUUCUAUGACGAUCUGUGCUAUAUAUAAUUAGGGUCAUUUUCUCAUGUCAUAGAUUAUCUGCAUGAGAAAAUGCAAGUAUAUAGAUGUUACAAUCUCUAGAUUCUUGGUUCCAUACAGAAGAAAGAAACUUAUUGUGAGUUCAGUUUUUCAGUCAUCUUAAUAACUUAUGGAUGUUAUGGUAUCUUUUUGGUCAAAAACAAGAAGUCUGGGGACAUAGAGAAGAUAAUUGACAUAAUUUAGAUUGAAAUUGGGGGGGUACUAAAGAUUAUACUGUGAAUCUAGAUAAAAUGGGCAUUUAUAUACAGUAUUACAAAAAUGAAUAAACAUAGUACAGGUAGUAUAAACA